UUAAAGCAAAGCACUGAAAAUGCUUAGAUGGGNAUUUAUUUAUACCCCAUAGACA
rnacentral:tRNA from 1 species